AUGUGGUGGCGCGACCAAUCUGGGAUCUGCGGCGCGGCGGAUGGCUGUAGCAGGCGGCGGGAGGCCGGCCCGUCCUGGCGGCGGGCGGCCCAGUCGCGGGCGGCGGCCAGGGCUGCGGGCGCUGCGGAUGGCCCUUCGGGCGGCGGCGGCAGCUGCGGUCGGCGGCGGCCGGCUUGGCUGCGGUGGCGUGCGUGCUGCCUUCAGAUCGGCGAUGGCGGCGUGGAGGGCCUGGUGGUCUCGUCGGCGGCACCUUCGUUCAGAUCUGUUCUGACCGGUGCAGCCGGCGGUGGUGGUCAUCUCUUCCGUCAGAGGUGGUCGACCUGA
rnacentral:rRNA from 1 species